GAGCGGCCGAUGCCGGAUUAGCUAGUUGGUGAGGUAAAGGCUCACCAAGGCGACGAUCCGUAGCUGGUCUGAGAGGACGACCAGCCACACUGGAACUGAGACACGGUCCAGACUCCUACGGGAGGCAGCAGUGGGGAAUUUUGGACAAUGGGCGAAAGCCUGAUCCAGCCAUUCCGCGUGAGUGAAGAAGGCCUUCGGGUUGUAAAGCUCUUUCGCAAGGAAAGAAAACUUAUCUCCUAAUACGAGGUGAGGUUGACGGUACCUUGAUAAGAAGCACCGGCUAACUACGUGCCAGCAGCCGCGGUAAUACGUAGGGUGCGAGCGUUAAUCGGAAUUACUGGGCGUAAAGCGUGCGCAGGCGGUUUUGUAAGUCAGAUGUGAAAUCCCCGGGCUCAACCUGGGAACU
rnacentral:rRNA from 1 species